UCGUACUGUGAAGCAUCCUGUUAAGUCAGGCAACGAGCGAGACCCACGCCAACAGUUGCCAGCAUGUCCUCCGGGAUGAUGGGGACACUGUUGGGACGCCUCUGCUAAAGAGGAGGAAGGAAUGGGCAACGGUAGGUCAGCAUGCCCCGAAUUAUCCGGGCUACACGCGGGCUACAAUGGUCAGGACAAUGGGUAUCGACACCGAGAGGUGGAGGCAAUCUCCUAAACCUGUCCUUAGUUCGGAUUGUGGGCUGCAACUCGCCCACAUGAAGCUGGAAUCCGUAGUAAUCGCGUUUCAAAAUAGCGCGGUGAAUAUGUCCCUGCUCCUU
rnacentral:rRNA from 1 species